rnacentral:rRNA from 1 species
ACGCUGGCGGCAGGCCUAACACAUGCAAGUCGAGCGGAUGAAGAGAGCUUGCUCUCUGAUUCAGCGGCGGACGGGUGAGUAAUGCCUAGGAAUCUGCCUGAUAGUGGGGGACAACGUUUCGAAAGGAACGCUAAUACCGCAUACGUCCUACGGGAGAAAGCAGGGGACCUUCGGGCCUUGCGCUAUCAGAUGAGCCUAGGUCGGAUUAGCUAGUUGGUGAGGUAAUGGCUCACCAAGGCGACGAUCCGUAACUGGUCUGAGAGGAUGAUCAGUCACACUGGAACUGAGACACGGUCCAGACUCCUACGGGAGGCAGCAGUGGGGAAUAUUGGACAAUGGGCGAAAGCCUGAUCCAGCCAUGCCGCGUGUGUGAAGAAGGUCUUCGGAUUGUAAAGCACUUUAAGUUGGGAGGAAGGGCAGUAACUUAAUACGUUGCUGUUUUGACGUUACCGACAGAAUAAGCACCGGCUAACUCUGUGCCAGCAGCCGCGGUAAUACAGAGGGUGCAAGCGCUAAUCGGAAUUACUGGGCGUAAAGCGCGCGUAGGUGGUUUGUUAAGUUGGAUGUGAAAGCCCCGGGCUCAACCUGGGAACUGCAUUCAAAACUGACAAGCUAGAGUAUGGUAGAGGGUGGUGGAAUUUCCUGUGUAGCGGUGAAAUGCGUAGAUAUAGGAAGGAACACCAGUGGCGAAGGCGACCACCUGGACUGAUACUGACACUGAGGUGCGAAAGCGUGGGGAGCAAAC